rnacentral:rRNA from 1 species
GACGAACGCUGGCGGCGUGCCUAAUACAUGCAAGUCGAACGCAGUGGGGACGGGUGAGUAACACGUGGGUAACCUCCCAUCAGAGGGGAUAACACUUGGAAACAGGUGCUAAACCGAUACUGAUGGAUGGACCCGCGGUGCAUUAGCUAGUUGGUGAGGUAACGGCUCACCAAGGCCACGAUCUCUAGCCGACCUGAGAGGGUGAUCGGCCACACUGGGACUGAGACACGGCCCAGACUCCUACGGGAGGCAGCAGUGGGGAAUCUUCGGCAAUGGGCGAAAGUCUGAUCCAGCAACGCCGCGUGAGUGAAGAAGGUCUUCGGAUUGUAAAACUCUGUUGUCAGAGAAGCGGUACCUACCCAGGAAGCAACGGCUAACUCCGUGCCAGCCGCCGCGGUAAUUC